AUAAAUUUUGUUUCAAAUAAAAAUCUGAAGUGGCCGGAUGCCUCUUAAAGAGUAACAAAAGUGUGUGAAGGGAGGCUCAAGCUAAGAUUUUGCUCGUGAGCACAAUGGUAUAAGCCUGCCUAAUUAUGAGACUAAUUGGUCGAAUAGAGACGAAAGUUGACCAUAGUGAUAUGGGAGUCCCAUGUGGAAGGGCUCUCACUUAACAGAUCAAAGGUAUGUUGAUGAUAACAGACUGAUGACUCCCAAGAGCUCUUAUUGAUGGAGUUGUUUGGCACCUUGAUGUUGACUCAUCACAUCUUGGAGGUGGAAAGGUUCCCAAGAGUUUGGUUGUUCACCGAUCAAAGUAGAAGAAAAUAAACUGCCAUUUGCCUAGGUAAGAG
rnacentral:ncRNA from 1 species